UCCUGGAGAUUCGCGGGAUGUCAAACCCAGGUAAGGUUCUUCGCGUUGCAUCGAAUUAAACCAGAUACUCCACCGCUUGUGCGGGCCCCCGUCUAUUCCUUUGAGUUUCAKCCUUGCSACCGUACUCCCCAGGCGGGAUGCUUAACGCGUUAACUGCGGCACCGAGAGUAAACUCCCGACACCUAGCAUCCAUCGUUUACAGCGUGGACUACCAGGGUAUCUAAUCCUGUUUGAUCCCCACGCUUUCGCACCUCAGCGUCAGUUGCCGGCCAGGUGGCCGCCUUCGCCACUGGUGUUCCUCCAGAAAUCUACSGAUUUCACCUCUACACCUGGAAUUCCACUUCCCUCUCCCCUACUCAAGCCUGACAGUUUCAAAUGCACUUCCCGGGUUGAGCC
rnacentral:rRNA from 1 species